UACGUAGGGGGCAAGCGUUGUCCGGAAUCAUUGGGCGUAAAGAGCGUGUAGGCGGCUCGAUAAGUCUGCUGUGAAAGUCCAGGGCUCAACCCUGGAAGGCCGGUGGAAACUGUCGGGCUAGAGUCCGGAAGAGGCGAGUGGAAUUCCCGGUGUAGCGGUGAAAUGCGCAGAUAUCGGGAGGAACACCAAUGGCGAAGGAAGCUCGCUGGGACGGUACUGACGCUGAGACGCGAAAGCGUGGGGAGCAAACAGG
rnacentral:rRNA from 1 species